AUGCAGAUGAUAUCACAGUGUGUACAUCGUCACAGGAAGACCUGGACACUUUAGGACAAAAGUUGUCUUUGUACGAACGGGCCUCAUCUGCACGUGUGAACUGGGUCAAGCCGACCCUUCCAGCAGGACUGCAAUGGAGCACAGAGGGGCUUAAGUACCUGGGUGUGUACCUGGGGAGUGACCAAUUCCAAA